rnacentral:tRNA from 1 species
UAGUAUCUAGAUAUGCGGGAGGUCAAUUGACUCAUAAUCAAUUGGUCGAGCGUUCGAAUCGCUCACGGCGACCCA